rnacentral:miRNA from 1 species
UGUCGUGGGGCUUGCUGGCUUG